GCUAAUGAUCUUUACAGUUGUCAGUUCUUUUACAAUAGCUUAAACAACACCAAGGUCAGUAGUCACUAUUGGUGGUUUUCGGUUGAGAAAGCGCCAUUACUGACAGUUAUCCUAUUUGAAUCUCCAAUUUCAGAUGCCAUAGCAACUACAUCAGGUGGUAUUUCCAAGGUUCCACUUCUUCUUCCCCAACUAGAGCGCCUCGGAUGUAGUAUACUACGCCCAUCUGGCAAUGUGGCACCAUUGGAUAUAACUGAUAGCUCUUCCUCCUUAUCGAACUGAUUAUCAUUUCUAGUCUGUCCUUCAAAUUCAUUUGCUCCUCUCCUUUCUUCAUGCCAAGAAGGCUUCCUUCCCCUUUCUAAAUCACUCAUUGUUUUCUCCAUGUUUGGACUAACAAAACCAACUCCAACUUCACGAGGUGGUAUUCCAGGUUCUCUCGCCACUUUGGCUCUGAAGUUGUUCUUCGAAGGAGGUAUACUAGUGCAGAAUAUCUCUGAGAAGUUGUGAAGUACACCUUUGUUAUAAGGGUUGACCCUCCUAUCAUACCGAUAUCUGAAAUUCUCAUAGGUUGACUGAUUUGUGCCAAUAAGAUACAAAUGGAAGACGCUCAAGCCACCAACAAACCAAACUGAUAUAAAUGUAUAAAUGAUUAGCACAAUAGAAGCAGGAGUCUUGGCCAUUGCCUUCCAGAUUGACGUAUGUUCACCAUCCAUGAUCCUUUUGAUAUAGACCCAGCAAAAGCCAUGCACGUACAAGCAAAGAAGGGUUGUUGAGAA
rnacentral:misc_RNA from 1 species